ACAUCCAAGGAAGGCAGCAGGCGCGUAAAUUACCCAAUCCUAACACAGGGAGGUAGUGACAAUAAAUAACGAUACGGAACCCAUGUGGUUUUGUAAUUGGAAUGAGAACAAUUUAAAUCCCUUAUCGAGGAUCAAUUGGAGGGCAAGUCUGGUGCCAGCAGCCGCGGUAAUUCCAGCUCCAAUAGCGUAUAUUAAAGUUGUUGCAGUUAAAAAGCUCGUAGUUGAAUUUCUGGUGGGGACGGCGGUCCGCCGCCUUUGUGUGGUGUGUACUUGCGUGUUCCCCGCCUUGCUUGUGGAGUGUGUUGCGGUCCUUAAUUUGGGUUGUGGCAUGUGUCUCUGCAUCGAUUACUGUGAACAAAUUAGAGUGUUUAAAGCAGGCUUGUUAGCUUGAAUACAUUAGCAUGGAAUAAUGAUAUAGGACUUUGGUGCUAUUUCGUUGGUUGUGUACCAAGGUAAUGAUUAAUAGGGAUAGUUGGGGGUAUUCAUAUUUGAUUGUCAGAGGUGAAAUUCUUGGAUUUAUUAAAGAUGAACAACUGCGAAAGCAUUUACCAAGGAUGUUUUCAUUAAUCAAGAACGAAAGUCAGGGGAUCGAAGAGGAUUAGAUACCCUCGUAGUCUUGACCAUAAACUAUGCCGACUCAGGAUUGGCAGGCGCAAUUUCAAAGUGGCCCUGUCAGCACUGUAUGAAAAAUCAAAGUCUUUGGGUUCCGGGGGGAGUAUGGUCGCAAGGCUGAAACUUAAAGGAAUUGACGGAAGGGCACCACCAGGAGUGGAGCCUGCGGCUUAAUUUGACUCAACACGGGGAAACUUACCAGGUCCAGAC
rnacentral:rRNA from 1 species